GUAAUACGGAGGGUGCAAGCGUUAAUCGGAAUUACUGGGCGUAAAGCGCACGCAGGCGGUCUGUUAAGUCAGAUGUGAAAUCCCCGGGCUUAACCUGGGAACUGCAUUUGAAACUGGCAGGCUUGAGUCUUGUAGAGGGGGGUAGAAUUCCAGGUGUAGCGGUGAAAUGCGUAGAGAUCUGGAGGAAUACCGGUGGCGAAGGCGGCCCCCUGGACAAAGACUGACGCUCAGGUGCGAAAGCGUGGGG
rnacentral:rRNA from 1 species